GGACAGGAACAAAAGUAUUUCGUCUUAGCACCUAAAGUAUUCCAUAUCGGUGCCUCUGAAAAUGUAGUGGUUCAAGUUCAUGGAUAUACAGAGUCAUUUGAUGUGUCUGUUGCCAUUAAAAGUUAUCCUGACAAAAUUUUCACCUAUUCUCGAGGCCAAGUAUAUUUAUCUCCCGAAAAUAAAUUUCAAGGCUCUACAAACCUAACUGUGCAACCCAAAGAUUUGUCUGGAAGUCCAAAUGCAGUUUCACGUGUGUAUUUAGAAGUGACAUGUGCUCACUUUUCAAAAUCAACACCCAUUCCUCUGUGCUAUGAUAAUGGAUUCAUCUUCAUCCAGACAGAUAAAUCGACAUAC